AUAUAACUAAGCGGAGGAAAAGAAACUAACCAGGAUUCCCCUAGUAACGGCGAGUGAAGCGGGAAGAGCUCAAGCUUAAAAUCUCUGUACAGGUUCUGUGCAGCGAAUUGUAGUCUACAAAGGCGUGACCAGUUGCUGCGCGCGAGAAAAGUUCUUUGGAAGAAGGCAGCAUGGAGGGUGAUACUCCCGUGUAUUCUUGUGCGCGUGCGACGUACGGUCCGUUUUUCUUGAGUCGCGUUGUUUGGGAAUGCAGCGCAAAGCCGGUGGUAAAUUCCAUCGAAGGCUAAAUACUGGUGCGAGACCGAUAGCGAACAAGUACCGUGAGG
rnacentral:rRNA from 1 species